rnacentral:rRNA from 1 species
AUUGAACGCUGGCGGCAUGCCUUACACAUGCAAGUCGAACGGCAGCACGGGAGCAAUCCUGGUGGCGAGUGGCGAACGGGUGAGUAAUAUAUCGGAACGUGCCCAGUCGUGGGGGAUAACGCAGCGAAAGUUGUGCUAAUACCGCAUACGAUCUAUGGAUGAAAGCGGGGGAUCGCAAGACCUCGCGCGAUUGGAGCGGCCGAUAUCAGAUUAGCUAGUUGGUGGGGUAAAAGCCCACCAAGGCGACGAUCUGUAGCUGGUCUGAGAGGACGACCAGCCMCACUGGAACUGAGACACGGUCCAGACUCCUACGGGAGGCAGCAGUGGGGAAUUUUGGACAAUGGGCGCAAGCCUGAUCCAGCAAUGCCGCGUGCAGGAUGAAGGCCUUCGGGUUGUAAACUGCUUUUGUACGGAACGAAACGGCGAGCUCUAAUAAAGUUUGCUAAUGACGGUACCGUAAGAAUAAGCACCGGCUAACUACGUG